rnacentral:rRNA from 1 species
AACGAACGCUGGCGGCAUGCCUAACACAUGCAAGUCGAACGGGACCUCCGUGCCUAGUUGCGCUCGGGUGCGGAACGCGGGGGAAGCUGCACGUCGGUUGCGAAUACUUGAGAUAAGUUUCAGCUAAUGCCUUAUAAUGUAUUCGGACCAAAGAUUUAUCGCCGCGGGGUGAGCCCGCGUAGGAUUAGGUAGUUGGGGGGGGAAUGGCCUAUCAAGGCGACGCUCCUUAGCUGGUCUGAGAGGAGGGUCAGCCACACUGGGACUGAGACACGGCCCAGACUCCUAGGGGAGGGGGGAGUGGGGAAUACAGGAGGAGGGGGGAAGGCCUGAUCAAGCAAGGGCGGGUGAGUGAUGAUGGCGGUAGGGAUGUAAAGCUGUUUUAGACGGGGUGAUAAUGACAGUACCGGGAGAAUAAGCACCGGCUAACUCCGUG